AAAGAAUAGGUUUUUUUUUCGUUACUCUUUUUCUUAUUAGUAGUAUAUAUAAUCUUUGAGGAUUUUGUGGCGUCGAUGGUUAAAAUGGGGCAGAUCGACGUGUUGAACGAUUUCACUGGUCAGAUCAAGAGCAUAUGCUCUGUAGUUAAUUAGGUCAUAUUUGUGGAAUUUGGGGAUUUUUCUUCUUGCAUAGUUUGGGUUUUCCGUUUGUUUAAUUUCAGUUCAUUUGUUGGGAAAUUAUGAGUGAGUCAUGAUUUGGUGUUUUGAGCGCAUAAUUUUUUUUUGGUUUAUCAGAAAAUAUUAUUCAUUUUUCUUUACAAAAUUUAGAUUAGGGGCAACUAUAGGGAUUAUUCUUAAAUGGUGUUGACAACUUACAAAGAACAAUGAAGAAAAUGUAGGAAAUUGUUCUUAAAUCAAUUUGGUGGUAUUGGCUGAUGAGCUUCACUCUUCAUGAAUGCUAGAAAUCAAUUUUUAAGUUCUACAUAUCACUUGCUCGACGAAUUGCUUGAUAGAAUUUCUCAUUAUCUUUAAUCUUGUUUUCUUCAAAAAAAAAAAAUUGUGUUCCUGAUUAAGCUUCUUAUUUAUGAUUGUAGGGGAAUGAAUUGAUUGAAGUUUAACUUUAUUCAUAUUGAAAUAUUUUUUAUUCAUCAAAAACGUAUUUUAUUCAAUAUAUUUUGUUAUCUUAUUUUAACUUUGUAUGGUGUUAGUUAUAAAACGAAGUGAAAAAUGAGAUCUAUUUCUUUUAUUCUUUUAUGCAAAUGAAAUUGUGCAGGCUUACGAUUGUCAACAAAGGAGGAAUGAGAGGUAAAGAUUUCUUGUGAAUAAACUUGUUCAUAUAUAUUCUUCUGUUGGUAUCUGUUUAGGCUUAUUAACUAUGAUAUCUCUAUUUUUGUUGUUGAUAUACAAAUAUAUUAGUUGCAAAACAGUGCUUUAUUUUUUAUUUCCAGAACCUGGUUAAGGCAAAGUCGAUGCAUCACGUAUGGCUGGACAAGGAAAAAAUAAGGGUGAGUGUUCUAAUGCGAUUGCACGGCGUAAGGACAAUCUAGGUUGAACGAUAAUGUGGAGAAUUUGUUAAAUAUGAACUUGUUCUUGUGAAUUUAUUUACAGAUGGAUUUUAAUGAUGAAAACUGGUUGGAUCUUUCAUCACUUGGCCAUGAUAUGCGACAGACUUUUGUUGUUGGUGUCAUUAAGAGCAUUGAGAAGAAGGAUUUGAGUGGUGCCAAGGUUACCAAGUGAAUGGUGUUGGCUUCGACUUUUACUGAUGUAGAAGUCUAUUUGUUUGAUAACUUGAGUUGUAAAAACCAUUUAAAUUUUGUUACUUGUUCAGGACAUUUAUUCUUGGUGUGCUGUAGUUUUCUGCGUUCGACAUCGCUUCACUAUAUAUCAUGUUUUAUUUUAAUUAA